GGGGAGAUGGCUCAGUGGUUAAGAGCACUAGCUGCUCUUUCAGAAGACCUGGGUUCAAAUUCCAGUACCCACA
rnacentral:tRNA from 1 species